CAGUCGCCGCGGUAAUACGUAGGUGGCAAGCGUUGUCCGGAGUUAUUGGGCGUAAAGGGCUCGCAGGCGGUUUCUUAAGUCUGAUGUGAAAGCCCCCGGCUCAACCGGGGAGGGUCAUUGGAAACUGGGAAACUUGAGUGCAGGAGAGGAGAGUGGAAUUCCACGUGUAGCGGUGAAAUGCGUAGAGAUGUGGAGGAACACCAGUGGCGAAGGCGACUCUCUGGUCUGUAACUGACGCUGAGGAGCGAAAGCGUGGGGAGCGAACAGGAUUAGAUACCCGCGUAGUCCCUGUCUCUUAUAC
rnacentral:rRNA from 1 species